AGGGGGGGGCGCCGGGGGGCUUCCACUUAUUCUACACCUCUCAUGUGUCUUCACCGUGCCAGACUAGAGUCCAAGCUUCAGCAGGGUCUUCUUUCCCCGCUGAUUUCCGCCAAGCCCCCGCCGGGUCCGCCCCCGGGGCCGCGGUUCCGCGCGGCGCCUCGCCUCCGCCGGCGCCUAGCAGCCGACUUAGAACUGGUGCGGACCAGGGGAAUCCGACUGUUUAAUUAAAACAAAGCAUCGCGAAGGCCCGCGGCGGGUGUUGACGCGCUGGGAUUUCUGCCCAGUGCUCUGAAUGUCAAAGUGAAGAAAUUCAAUGAAGCGCGGGUAAACGGCGGGAGUAACUAUGACUCUCUUAAGUAGCCAAUUCCUCGUCCUAAUUAGUUACGCGCAUAAAUUGAAUGAACGAGAUUCCCACUGUCCCUACCUAGUAAACGAGAUUCCCACUGUCCCUACCUCAACUCCAGAGAAACCCACAGCCAAGGGAACGGGCUUGGCCGAAAUUAAGCGGGGAAAGAAGACCCUGUUGAGCUUGACUCUAGUCUGGCACGGUGAAGAGACAUGAGAGGUGUAGAAUAGGGGGAGCCCCCCCGGCGCCCCCCCGUCCCCGCGAGGGGCGGGGGCGGGGUCCGCCGGCCUUGCGGGCCGCCCGGUGAAAUACCACUACUCUGAUCGUUUUCACUGACCCGGUGAGGCGGGGGGGCGAGCCCCGAGGGGCUCUCGCUUCUCGGGGGGCCUCUUCGUUUCGGGCGCCAGGCCCCGGGCCGCCUUCGGGCGCCAGGCGCCGGGCCGCGCGCCGGCGGGGGCGGACCCCGCUCCGGGGACAGUGCCAGGUGGGGAGUUUGACUGGGGCGGUACACCUGUCAAACGGUAACGCAGGUGUCCUAAGCCGAGCCUCAGGGAGACAGAAACCUUCCCGUGGAGCAGGAAGGGGCAAAAGCUCGCUUGAUCUGAUUUUCAGUACGAAUAAGACCAGUGAAAGCGGGGCCUCACGAUCCUUCCUGACCUUUUGGGUUUUUUAAAGCAGGAGGUUGUCAGAAAAGUUACCACAGGGAUAUCUGGCUCUUGUGCCGGCCAAGCGUUCAUAGCGACGUCCGCUUUUUGAUCCCUUCGAUGUCGGUUCCUUCCUAUUCAUGUGAAGCAGAAUUCACCAAGCGUUGUGGAUUGUUCACCCACUAAUAGGGAACGUGAGCUUGGGGGUUUAGACCGUCGUGAGACAGGUUAGUUUUACCUACUGAUGAUGUGUUGUUGCCAUGGUAAAUCCUGCCAGUACGAGAGGGGAACCGCAGGUUCAGACAUUUGGUGUAUGUGCUUGGCUGAGGAGCCAAUGGGGCGAAGCUACCAUCUGUGGGAUUUAUACUGAACGCCUCUAAGUCAGAAUCCCGCCCAGGCGGAACGAUACGGCAGCGCCGCGGAGCCUCGGUUGGCCUCGGAUAGCCGGUCCCCCGCCGUCCCCGCCGGCGGGCCGCCCCGCCCCGCGCGGGGCGCGCCCCGCCGCGCGCCGGGACCGGGGUCCGGUGCGGAGUGCCCCUCGUCCUGGGAAACGGGGUGCGGCCGGAAAGGCGGCCCGCCCCCUCGCCCGUCACGCAACGCACGUUCGUGGGGAACCUGGCGCUAAACCAUUCGUAGACGACCUGCUUCUGGGUCGGGGUUUCGUACGUAGCAGA
rnacentral:rRNA from 1 species